GACGUAGGGGGCAAGCGUUGUUCGGAAUUAUUGGGCGUAAAGCGCUCGUAGGCGGUCUGUCGCGUCUGCUGUGAAAACUCGGGGCUUAACCCCGGGCCUGCAGUGGGUACGGGCAGACUAGAGUGCGGUACGGGAGACUGGAAUUCCUGGUGUAGCGGUGAAAUGCGCAGAUAUCAGGAGGAACACCGGUGGCGAAGGCGGGUCUCUGGGCCGUAACUGACGCUGAGGAGCGAAAGCGUGGGGAGCGAACAGG
rnacentral:rRNA from 1 species